AGUAGAGCCCAUAUAUAUAACAUUAACAUUCAUUUAGCACUGACUAGGACUGGUGAGAAAAUUAUUAUUUAGGGAGGGCUUCAUACACGUGGGGAUGAAAAACAGCUCAGGUUUUUUUCACUGCUUCUUGAGGAAAAGGAGACAAAUUCUCUGUCUGAUGCAGCUGAGGACAUGGAGGGUGGAUCUUCUACAACUAAGACUAUUGCUACAACUAAGGCUGUUUAGAAUUCCAUGUUAUUUAAGAUAUAUCUCCUUUAUAGUCUACAUUUCCACAUCCCAUUUUGAAGGUACAAUCUGAAUACUGCUGGUUGGUUGUUUCCUUGCUUUUAGCUGGGGACAAGCUGCUACAAGGACUCAGGCUUGUGUCCUCAAGGUCAAAGUGUCCAGAGAAGGAUUUGUGUCAGGGGACUCCCUUCUACCCCUUGGGUCUGGAGUGCCUUGGAUGCCUUUCCCAUCCCAGGCUGUGUGCAGAGUAACAGGAUGCUUUGCCAUGAGUUGCUGAGCCAGCUGGGGAGCCAGGCAAGAAAUCAGGUCCCAGUCUUGGAUCCUGGAGAAAUCUGAUGAGAGAUGUCUUUCCAAACCCACUGACAGAGGAGUCACCCCAGAGAGAGGAACAGGAGUAAUAAUACAUGUCAAUGAAAUGAGGCAAGGCCUGAAAAAUGCUUCACAAAAGAGAAAAAUUAAGGCCAGGGAGUAGGAGUACCCAAAAGAAUCCUUAGGAGAACAAACACCUGUGGGAUGAGAAGAAAAUACCAAACAGAAAUGCAGGCCUGGCAAACUCCAUAACUGCAGGGUUGUGAUUGUGAAUCACAGAAGAAAGAAUUUCAUAGCAACAUUUAAGGUGGAAGUGACAAACCUGAGGUAAGAAAAUUAAUCUGAAUAAUGCAGCCCUUCAGUGCUUUAAACUUGCAUUGCUUUCAGGGUCUGCAAGAUUAGCCCCAGGUUUGCAAAGGAAAAGCUUUACCUGAUGGGCUUUUGAGCAAUGUUCCCCUUUGAAGAAAUAAUUCAAACCACCUGUUCUUUCUAGAGCGUUAUCAGAGACCUUCAUCUCUGUGCUGCAGUUAUUGUUUUCCUUGUGCAUGGAGUGAAUUAGUGCCACGUUUCAGCUGGAUUUCAGGAUUGUAUUAUUCAGUUAGUAAAAUCUACUAAUGACAACACUUUGAAAUGCCAGCCUGUUGUGGAUGCAAUGUCAUGUUUCGUGGGAGGUGGUUGCAUUGCGAGAAAAAGAAAAUGUUUGCAUAGUGGGCUGCUUAGCUCUUCUUUGAAACUGCACUUUUGGACAAGCAGGAGGAGGUAAAAAGUGAGAAAAAAAACCUGAAAAACUCUUUAUGGGUGGAAGUCUCAGCAAAUUACUUAACCAUAUUAUUUGCCUCAAAGGCAAAAGCACUCCGUGCCUUCCUUCUGCUGUUAUCCCGCCGGAGUCCAUCAGUUUAACAAAGUUUUUAAAGCCAAGAAUUAAAGCAACUUUUACCACUUCCACCACUGGGCACAGAGUAUUGCAGAGGCAGAGCAAGCACACUUCUGCUUAGCUCCCUGCCUGGUUCUAACUCUGAUCCACCAUCACCUUGCACUUGUAUCUGUGUGUUUUGCUGAUAGACAAAGCAUGUGCUUAUUCUCUUCUUCUAUCACCACUAUAGUUUAAAUUCAUAAACUCAAAGUUCCUUCUCCUCUUAUUUCCUUGGCUUCCUCUCCUGUGAUACUUUUAAACUAUGUCCUGCCUGUAUUCAGGAGUAAAAGAAGCACAUUGAUAUUGCUUUCAAACAUACAUGUUAUCUAAAAGGCAAGCCCAUGUAAUAUGUUUUCCAAAUGAACUUGGUUAGAAUUUCAAAAAUGGGUGGGUGGGAGUGAGAAUUUCCAGCAUAUCCGGCAGUGGAAGAAGAGUAGAAACUGCUCAUCUCCACACAGCCUAUAAAAUUCUACAGGUCACCAGCUUCAAGUGGUGUGUCCUUAUUCAAGCCCCAAGAAUGUUUCUAGACUCAUCACAGUGAAACUGAAGUUGUUCAACAGCAGUGUUCUUCUGUUAGGACAGCCAAGUGAUUGUUGAAUGAGUGACAGAAAGGUUAAGUUAGAGAUCUUCCAAAGGAGGACAUUUUUGGCCACAAGGGACAAAAGGAAGGGGGGGGGAAAGGACUGACAAAAGUUGUAUACAAAGAAGCCAUUUAAUGCAGAUUUGCCAUAAGGCAGGAUAAUAGUGCCUGAAUGUUAUGAACUCCAGAAACUGCAUGAACACAUUAUAUUUUAAACACUUAAUCUGUUUUACAAACUAUGUACAUUCUUCUGCUAAAUAAGAUGAAUUGGGAUUCAAGAAGCAGCACAUCCUGACAAAUCUCCUCCUAAAGGCAUCCAUUAAUAUAAAUCAACAGUAGCAAUUUUGUUUGAUCAUUUAUUUGCAAGAAUCAUUAAGGUUUAUUAGCAUAAUUAUUCCCUGUGGGACUUCAUGUCACAUAAAUGAAAAAUGGCAUUAUCAAUAUUUAAAAGAUAAGUGCGUAAUGUUCAGAGUACUUAAACAGUACUCUGCAGGUGGUGUCCAGCUGGAGCAAAUUAGAUUAGGUUUGAUUUCUGAAGUCUAGAAAUAUAAUUUCAGUGCAACUGUUUAUUUCAGAACUAGGUUCCUUAUUUUGCAGGGCAUAAGCACAGAGCCAAACUCUGUAGUUAACUGUAACAUGUGUGUGCAGUUUUCUGAUUUCAAGUUAGAAACUUGUCCUAAAAUAUCACAGGGGAAGCAAAUGUUGUUUACGGGUGGAAAUCCUUCCAUAAUCUUGUCUUUUUUAUGUUAAAAGUUCUAUAUGAUGACCUGGAAUUUUCUCAGUGAAAUGAGAGGACUUUCUCCCUCAUCUCAGUGGAGACAUGGAGAUGCUUUCCUGCAGUAGCUCUGAAACCAGAAUCAGCUGGUGCCUCUGUACCUACUCUGGGAUCAUCUUGGUACUAACAGUGAGCUUGGCUUACAUGAGCACUUUGAAGCAGACACAGGGACUGAUGCACAGCAGAGCCUGUGGGUAAGACUGUGCCAGUCCAACCCUGGGCAGGCAGGUGCCUGCAGUGUGGCACAGGCAUUUCCUCAUCUCUGAAGGACACUGUGGAGGUCAGAGUUAGGAAUAGAGUACAUGGGAUAUCUGCAUGCAAUCCUGUGCCAUGUGCUCUGGGAUGACCCUGCCUGAGCAGGGAGCUUGGACCAGAUGACCCACUGUGCUCCCUUCCAACCUGACCCACUCUGUGAUGCUGUGAAUAUAAUUGUGACAAUUUGAGGGAGGGCAGAUGAGUGAACUGUGUGUCAGCCCUGGCUUAGGGAAACACUGGGCAUUUUUGGGUCCCCUUGGUGCUGCCAGAGCAAGUGCUGAGCAAGAGCACAUGCUGCUUUGGGGAAAAGCUGCCAAAGGUUCCUGCACAGAUGAGUGACCAUCCGGGUGCUGCUCUAAGUGAGAGCAGAGGGAAGAGACUAGUGAGAGAGCAGCUGUGAGGUGCAGGGCAAAGGCAGCUCUCAGGACUGGGUGAGCCCUACUUUUGGGCAGCAGAUCCCAGGUGUGCAGAGCAGCAGGGAGCGUGGCAUGGAGCCACAGCCACUGAAAAAGGCCUCUCCCUGCCUGUCUGCAGCCACAGCUGUGCUGUGAUCCCCCAGCUAUGCAGUGCCACACAUCGCUGUGCCCUUGGGACACACCUGGCAUGCAGGGCCCCAGAAAGUGAACCAUGAUGAAAGGUGAGGGACUGGGAGUGCUUCACACAGGAAUCCGUGGGCUUUGUCUGGUCCACAGCAAUACAGAGGCAAUUCACCAUUUCACUGAUGAAUUUUUGUUGGAGCACAAAAUUUCUGUUUUAUCAGCACCAAAAUGUAUCGGUAACUGCUGUGUGCUCUUCUCCUCUCUAAAAGCUCUUGAAUAAAACAACAGGGAUUUUACUAAACAUGCCCCAGGACUCCUCCAGACACAUCCCCACGUGGGGCAGGGAAGCAGAGCCUCCACCAGCCUGGGGCUCAUGACGGGGCUCUGCCGAGGCUGCCGGGCAGGGGGAAGUGCCAGGGUGAGAGAUGGAUGCAGGCAGCAGAACGACUUUCACAUUGCUCUCAGCCCUUUCUGGGACUGAUGUUUGUUUUCUGUUAUUGCCCUUCAGUUGCCCUUUCCGUUGGUUGGCUUAAGGUUAUGGUUACAGAUUAGUUUGUUUAAUACUCUGUUGUUUGCCAAUGGCAUCUUUCUUCCCAGUUUUCUGCACUUUGCUGAGCUCCCCUUUGGAGCUCCUCAGCUUUUUAAUUAUUCACUAAAGUUAAACUGAACUCUUUGGGAUUAAUUGUGUUUGGUGGUAUCUUGUAGGAAUGAAAUCUUUGCUUCCAAUUUAAAUGCUACAAAUGAAGCUUGUUAUUUUGAGGGGCACUUUUGACGUAUAAUUGUAUCACACCUGAGAAAAUAGAUACAACUUCUUUUAAAACCUUUUACAAACAGAACUUUUAUACCCAUAAACAUUUAGAUUCUCUGCUAAAAUCAUCACCAUUCACUUUCCUAAGUAAGAACUCAGUCCUUUUGCUUGAACUUAUGAUCUCUCUUCUGCUUCACGGGGAACAAGAGUUUGGUUAGGAUAGAUAGAGGGUUAAAGAUCUUGCUGCAAAAACAGAAGUGUCAUCACAGCAUUAGUUUUACACCAUUCUUUACAUAGAAGAAAUAUAUUUGCUGUACCUAGAUCAUAUGCUUAAAACAAAGUAUUAGAGGUGAAGCAGAAAGCCUGGUGCAGAAAGCAAUUGUAUUCUCCCCGGUGUUUGCUAGUUGAAUUAAAAAGAGCACAGUGGACAUGGCUCUCUAAUUGUUUUCAAAUCACCAAAUGUGGUGCCAAACACACAGGAAAAGAAAACUCAGUCCUACAGCUAAAUAAUUAUUAAACCCACAUUUGGCUCAUCAGGAACAGAUGUGUUUUUGUUGAACACAUUUGAAGCACUGAGUAUUUUUGUUUCAUUUAAUAUUGUUGUUUACAGUCCAUAAUGUCAUGAGUAAAAGAUCACUUCUGCCUACUGCUGCUAUGGGACAUAUUUCCCUACUACUCCAGGAUAAUUUAAAAAAAAAAAAAAAUAGUGCUAAGACUUUGUUGACAGUGAUAGCCCCUUAGCUGCUAAAUCUGCUCUCCCAUCCAUCACUACUCUCAAGCAAAGCAAGCAUUAGUUUCUCUGUGACUUAUCUAGGUCUUUAGUAGAUCAAUAGCACAGCUCAGAUGUUUCAGACUCUUCCCUGUUAAUUCACAUUUAUCUUUUCAUCCAAAGAAGGUAAAUUACCUCACAGAGAAGCUGUGUUAUCCCCAAUAGUGGUUUAUAAUGUUGCAAAGUCAGCAUGACCUACAUAUCUUAUCUCAGCUGGAACGCAUUUGUCACUGUCUCCUGUUAUGAUCAUCUGGUAAAACGCCCUAGAAAAGAGGUAAACCUGCAAAAUGGCUUCACCACUUUCAUUUAAUGACCUUUUCUGCUGUGUGCUCCUGCAUCACCUUCAGUUAAACUGCUAAAUAAAGGGAACUUACUUUUUCCCCUUAGUGCUCCAUUCCAUGGGUUUUAUCAUUAGCAUUCCUCAGCAGUCUUUGCUUCUGCUGUUGGGAGCUCUUCAGUGGGUGCUGAUACUGAGAACUGGUUCAUUUACUAAGAUGCUGUGUUAAACCUGAGAAAGGACUGCUGAGUUUAACUCUACAUUUGUACAGUGGGCUGCUGGUCACCUGAAGCUUUUCAGGCCUUGAAAGUGUUUAAUGCCCUUAGGAAAAAGGAAUGAGAAGCAGAUCACUGACCUGUGAGCUGUAACCAGGCUGCUGCAAGAAAGAAAUGCAGUAUGGAACAAGAGUUUGAUGGCAUUUGGGACUCAUUUCUUUCCAAACUAUGAUGAGUGGAGCAACUCUGCCUGGACUGAACUCUGCUCUGCAGGUGUGAGAUUCUUAGGUCUUUGAGAAAUUAGCUGGUGUCAUCAAGGAGCUCUGCUUUUUGACAUGAAGAAAAGGCAGGUCUGUUUUCAACACAGUGCUUGAUCUUUUCCCAAAUAAGAGCGAAGGAGGGGAGGCCCCUCCAGGGAGCAGUGACUGGCUGUGACCGCCCAGCUGGGAGGAGCAGCACAAACUGGUGCUUCCCCCUCAGGUGGGUGAGGAUCCCCCGGCUGGGACGACCUUGGGGAGGAGAACGGGAUGUGCAGAG